UGGGGAAUUUUGGACAAUGGGGGAAACCCUGAUCCAGCCAUCCCGCGUGUGCGAUGAAGGCCUUCGGGUUGUAAAGCACUUUUGGCAGGAAAGAAACGUCGCGGGUUAAUACCCCGCGAAACUGACGGUACCUGCAGAAUAAGCACCGGCUAACUACGUGCCAGCAGCCGCGGUAAUACGUAGGGUGCAAGCGUUAAUCGGAAUUACUGGGCGUAAAGCGUGCGCAGGCGGUUCGGAAAGAAAGAUGUGAAAUCCCAGAGCUUAACUUUGGAACUGCAUUUUUAACUACCGGGCUAGAGUGUGUCAGAGGGAGGUGGAAUUCCGCGUGUAGCAGUGAAAUGCGUAGAUAUGCGGAGGAACACCGAUGGCGAAGGCAGCCUCCUGGGAUAACACUGACGCUCAUGCACGAAAGCGUGGGGAGCAAACAGGAUUAGAUACCCUGGUAGUCCACGCCCUAAACGAUGUCAACUAGCUGUUGGGGCCUUCGGGCCUUGGUAGCGCAGCUAACGCGUGAAGUUGACCGCCUGGGGGAGUACGGUCGCAAGAUUAAAACUUAAAUGAAUUGACGGGGGUCAUA
rnacentral:rRNA from 1 species